rnacentral:rRNA from 1 species
AGCCUGGGAAACUGGGUCUAAUACCGAAUACACCCUGCUGGUCGCAUGGCCUGGUGGGGGAAAGCUUUUGCGGUGUGGGAUGGGCCCGCGGCCUAUCAUCUUGUUGGUGGGGUGAUGGCCUACCAAGGCGACCACGGGUAGCCGGCCUGAGAGGGUGUCCGGCCACACUGGGACUGAUAUACGGCCCACACUCCUACGGGAGGCAGCAGUGGGGAAUAUUGCACAAUGGGCGCAAGCCUGAUGCAGCCACCCCGCGUGGGGGAUGACGGCCUUCGGGUUGUAAACCUCUUUCAAUAGGGACAAGCGUAAGUGACGGUACCUAUAGAAGAAGCACCGGCCAACUACGUGCCAGCAGCCGCGGUAAUAC